CGCGUAGGCGGCCAGAUAAGUCCGGUGUGAAAGUCACAGGCUCAACCUGUGAAUGCCGCUGGAAACUGUCUGGCUAGAGUCCGGAAGGGGCGAGUGGAAUUCCUGGUGUAGCGGUGAAAUGCGCAGAUAUCAGGAGGAACACCAAUGGCGAAGGCAGCUCGCUGGGACGGUACUGACGCUGAGGCGCGAAAGCGUGGGGAGCAAACA
rnacentral:rRNA from 1 species